rnacentral:rRNA from 1 species
GAUGAACGCUGGCGGCGUGCCUAAUACAUGCAAGUCGAGCGAACAGACGAGGAGCUUGCUCCUCUGACGUUAGCGGCGGACGGGUGAGUAACACGUAGAUAACCUACCUAUAAGACUGGGAUAACUUCGGGAAACCGGAGCUAAUACCGGAUAAUAUAUUGAACCGCAUGGUUCAAUAGUGAAAGACGGUUUUGCUGUCACUUAUAGAUGGAUCCGCGCCGCAUUAGCUAGUUGGUAAGGUAACGGCUUACCAAGGCAACGAUGCGUAGCCGACCUGAGAGGGUGAUCGGCCACACUGGAACUGAGACACGGUCCAGACUCCUACGGGAGGCAGCAGUAGGGAAUCUUCCGCAAUGGGCGAAAGCCUGACGGAGCAACGCCGCGUGAGUGAUGAAGGUCUUCGGAUCGUAAAACUCUGUUAUUAGGGAAGAACAAAUGUGUAAGUAACUAUGCACGUCUUGACGGUACCUAAUCAGAAAGCCACGGCUAACUACGU